ACAUGGCAAGCACCAACACUGGCAGCUGCUAAAAUCAAAGCCCUUUGCUCAGAGCUCUAGAUGGCACUGCCCAGAAAAGAAUGCAGCUUCAGCUGGAAGUUUCUCACAAAGCCUUGGGAGAUGAAAGGCUGCCUGCCAGGCUUGGCAGGGCUGACAGACAAGAGGAGCUAAUGAGGAAGCCAGGAUAUCAAAGGGAUGUUGGACUUCGUGAUGAAAGUCAAGCUCAGGACCAUUCCCCUCAUCCACCGUCCCCACUACCUCCUCUGCUCUGAGAGACGCUAUAAUGCAUCGCCCAGGGACACAGCUUCCGAAUCCAACUGCCUGGUUUUUAAUCCCCUAGGCUCACUCAUUAGCUGUGUGAACUCGGACACAUAUCCUAACCUUUUUAUUUCCUGAUUUUUUCAUCUUCAGGAUAGGAGUAGCAAUUGUACAUACCUCAUGCACACGCGUCAGAAUGCCAGGAGGGAGAAGUUCACUCAAAUUUGGAUAAUCCCAGGAGGUUUUAGUAAAAGAACUAGUUACAAAGGAGUAUGGAGGAUGUAGCAAAACCACAAGAGAGGGGGCAGUGCCCCAAGGCCAACAACAGUGGAUGUCAUUAUCAUGCCCAGGCCUGAAAGGACACCGGGACAAGCGUGGCUAUCUACACCCAAAGAAAGCCAGAGCUCUGUGAAGACAGGUGCCUGGUGUGAGUCAUGACCUUCAGUGCAAAGAUGCAGCCAGCUCAUAGCAACCUGACAGCAAAGGAGAUGCACAAAUAAAUGCACUGACCUCA